AACGAACGCUGGCGGCAGGCCUAACACAUGCAAGUCGAGCGAAGCCUUCGGGCUUAGCGGCGGACGGGUGAGUAACGCGUGGGAACGUGCCCUUUGCUACGGAAUAGCGCAGGGAAACUGGGAGUAAUACCGUAUGUGCCCUUAGGGGGAAAGAUUUAUCGGCAAAGGAUCGGCCCGCGUUGGAUUAGGUAGUUGGUGGGGUAAUGGCCUACCAAGCCGACGAUCCAUAGCUGGUUUGAGAGGAUGAUCAGCCACACUGGGACUGAGACACGGCCCAGACUCCUACGGGAGGCAGCAGUGGGGAAUCUUAGACAAUGGGGGAAACCCUGAUCUAGCCAUGCCGCGUGAUCGAUGAAGGCCUUAGGGUUGUAAAGAUCUUUCAGUGGGGAAGAUAAUGACUGUACCCACAGAAGAAGCCCCGGCUAACUCCGUGCCAGCCGCCGCCGUAACAC
rnacentral:rRNA from 1 species